CGGUUAUGAACCGGGCCGGUUAUGGACAUCCACAAUAUGAUUUAUAACACUUCCCCUUGGAUGCCAUAACCAUACAGGGAUUGUAAUACGCUUUAGAUGUUCCCUCAUUAAAACUUUACCAGGAAAACCUAGUGGCACAAAACCAUGGUGAAGGAAAAAGAGUACAACACGUAUUACUCCCCAUGUUCUGAACAACUCGCGG
rnacentral:lncRNA from 1 species